AUACUUACCUGGCAGGGGAGAUACCGUGAUCAUGAAGGUGGUUUUCCCAAUGCCAGGCCUAUCUACUGCACUCUGCAUGUGCUGACUCUUGCAAUUUCUCAAUGUGGGAUACCCAACUCCCUCAUUUGUAGUAAUGUGGGACUGCAUUUGCACUUUUCCCUG